rnacentral:rRNA from 1 species
AGAGUUUGAUCCUGGCUCAGGAUGAACGCUGGCGGCGUGCUUAACACAUGCAAGUCGAGCGGGAAUGCAGAGGCGGAAUUUUUCGGAAGGAAGCCUUUGUGUUUUAGCGGCGGACGGGUGAGUAACGCGUGGAUAACCUGCCCCAUACCGGGGGAUAACAGUUAGAAAUGACUGCUAAUACCGCAUAAGCGCACGGAGCCGCAUGGCGCAGUGUGAAAAACUCCGGUGGUAUGGGAUGGAUCCGCGUCUGAUUAGCUAGUUGCGGGGGUAACGGCCCACCAAGGCAGCGAUCAGUAGCCGACCUGAGAGGGUGGCCGGCCACAUUGGGACUGAGACACGGCCCAAACUCCUACGGGAGGCAGCAGUGGGGAAUAUUGCACAAUGGGGGAAACCCUGAUGCAGCAACGCCGCGUGAGUGAAGAAGUAUUUCGGUAUGUAAAGCUCUAUCAGCAGGGAAGAAGAGAGACGGUACCUGACUAAGAAGCCCCGGCUAACUACGUG